AUCGGGAUAGUGCCCGGUGAAAAUCGUUGGGCGGCUGGGCACGCA
rnacentral:sRNA from 22 species